AUUGAACGCUGGCGGCAUGCCUUACACAUGCAAGUCGAACGGCAGCACGGGAGCAAUCCUGGUGGCGAGUGGCGAACGGGUGAGUAAUAUAUCGGAACGUGCCCAGUCGUGGGGGAUAACGCAGCGAAAGCUGUGCUAAUACCGCAUACGAUCUCUGGAUGAAAGCGGGGGGCCGUAAGGCCUCGCGCGAUUGGCGCGGCCGAUAUCAGAUUAGCUAGUUGGUGGGGCAAAGGCCCACCAAGGCGACGAUCUGUAGCUGGUCUGAGAGGACGACCAGCCACACUGGAACUGAGACACGGUCCAGACUCCUACGGGAGGCAGCAGUGGGGAAUUUUGGACAAUGGGCGCAAGCCUGAUCCAGCAAUGCCGCGUGCAGGAUGAAGGCCUUCGGGUUGUAAACUGCUUUUGUACGGAACGAAACGGCGAGCUCUAAUAAAGUUUGCUAAUGACGGUACCGUAAGAAUAAGCACCGGCUAACUACGUGCCAGCCGCCGCGGUAA
rnacentral:rRNA from 1 species